GCGCACCAGGCGAGAAAACUUCACACUGUGCGAAAGCACGAUGAGGGAAUCCCAAGUGCUUGCACGUAAGUGUAAGCUGUUUCUCUGUCUAAAACGCAGAGAGAGUAAGGGCUGGGUAAGACGGGUGCCAGCCGCCGCGGUAAUACCUGCAGCUCAAGUGGUGACCGUUAUUAUUGGGGCCUAAAAACGUCCGUAGCCGGUUUAAUAAAUGCCUGGGUAAAUUGUGUAGCUUAACUAUACGAAUUCCGGGUAGACUGUUAAACUUGGGACCGGGAGAAGUUAGAGGUACUCCUGGGGUAGAGGUGAAAUUCUGUAAUCCUAGGGGGACCACCAGUGGCGAAGGCGUCUAACUAGAACGGGUCUGACGGUGAGGGACGAAGCCCUGGGGCGCAAACGGGAUUAGAUACCCCUGUAGU
rnacentral:rRNA from 1 species